rnacentral:rRNA from 1 species
AGUGAACGCUGGCGGUAGGCCUAACACAUGCAAGUCGAACGGCAGCACAGUAAGAGCUUGCUCUUACGGGUGGCGAGUGGCGGACGGGUGAGGAAUACAUCGGAAUCUACUUUUUCGUGGGGGAUAACGUAGGGAAACUUACGCUAAUACUGCAUACGACCUACGGGUGAAAGCAGGGGAUCUUCGGACCUUGCGCGAUUGAAUGAGCCGAUGUCGGAUUAGCUAGUUGGCGGGGUAAAGGCCCACCAAGGCGACGAUCCGUAGCUUGUCUGAGAGGAGGAUCAGCCAGACUGGAAGUGCGAAAAGGUCCAGACUCCUACGGGAGGCAGCAGUGGGGAAUAUUGGACAAUGGGCGAAAGACUGAUCCAGCCAUACCGCGUGGGUGAAGAAGGCCUUCGGGUUGUAAAGCCCUUUUGUUGGGAAAGAAAAGCAGCAGGUUAAUACCCCGCUGUUCUGACGGUACCCAAAGAAUAAGCACCGGCUAACUUCGUG